AGUCGAGAAUCAUUCGCAAUGGGCGAAAGCCCGACGAUGCGACGCCGUGUGAACGAUGAAGGCCCUCGGGUUGUAAAGUUCUUUCGCAAGGGAACAAGAAAUGCGGACUAAUACUCCGCAAAUUUGAGCGUACCUUGUAAAGAAGCACCGGCUAACUUCGUGCCAGCAGCUGCGGUAAUACGAAGGGUGCAAGCAUUAAUCGGAUUUAUUGGGUGUAAAGGGCGCGUAGGCUGGUGAGUAAGUUAUGUGUGAAAUUCCAAAGCUCAACUUUGGAGCUGCACGUAAAACUGCUCAUCUUGAGGAUAGGCGGAGAAAACGGAAUUCCACGUGUAGCGGUGAAAUGCGUAGAUAUGUGGAGGAACACCUGUGGCGAAAGCGGUUUUCUAGCUUAUUCCUGACGCUGAGGCGCGAGAGCAAGGGGAUCAAACAGGAUUAGAUACCCUGGUAGUCCUUGCCGUAAACGAUGCAUACUUGGCGUAGCUGGUCUUAACCCCAGCUGUGCCGGAGCUAACGCGUUAAGUAUGCCACCUGAAUAGUACGCUCGCAAGAGUG
rnacentral:rRNA from 1 species